rnacentral:rRNA from 1 species
CAGUAGCCGCGGUAAUACAGAGGGUGCGAGCGUUAAUCGGAUUUACUGGGCGUAAAGCGUGAGUAGGCGGCUUCUUAAGUCGGAUGUGAAAUCCCUGAGCUUAACUUAGGAAUUGCAUUCGAUACUGGGAAGCUAGAGUAUGGGAGAGGAUGGUAGAAUUCCAGGUGUAGCGGUGAAAUGCGUAGAGAUCUGGAGGAAUACCGAUGGCGAAGGCAGCCAUCUGGCCUAAUACUGACGCUGAGGUACGAAAGCAUGGGGAGCAAACAGGAUUAGAUACCCCAGUAGUCCCUGUCUCUUAUAA